rnacentral:rRNA from 1 species
UGGGGAAUAUUGGGCAAUGGGGGAAACCCUGACCCAGCAACGCCGCGUGAGUGAAGAAGGCCUUCGGGUUGUAAAGCUCUGUCGCAGGGGACGAAAAAAAUGACGGUACCCUGUGAGGAAGCCCCGGCUAACUACGUGCCAGCAGCCGCGGUAAUACGUAGGGGGCGAGCGUUGUCCGGAAUUACUGGGCGUAAAGGGUGCGUAGGUGGCUUGUUAAGUUGGAUGUGAAAUCCCCGGGCUCAACUUGGGUGGUGCAUUCAAAACUGGCGAGCUAGAGUGCAGGAGAGGGAAGCGGAAUUCCUAGUGUAGCGGUGAAAUGCGUAGAUAUUAGGAGGAACACCAGUGGCGAAGGCGGCUUUCUGGACUGUAACUGACACUGAGGCACGAAAGCGUGGGGAGCAAACA